ensembl:lncRNA
AUGGGGUGCUCUUCAUCCAGCGCGCAGACCCUCGACCAAGAGAACAGACCAGGUACGAAGCCGGAGGAGAGCCAUGGCGACCCGCUGGCUGUCGGAAACGGCUUCAUUGCGGAAGACGCACAAACCAUAGAGGACCAGAUGCAGUUGCCUGUGCAGACGGCCCUACUGGAUGAUCUCCAACGGGGAGCCAAUGAGGAGGCGGAGGCUGUGUUGGUAGCCCUGGAGGCCCAGGAGGAUCUUGGCUCUGGAGAAGAUCUCCUCACCGCCCUCGAGCCUCAACCAGAACCUGUCAGCCCUCUAGAGCCGACUCCAAAGGCUGGCUCUCUAGCUGAAGUUGCUACCGUGUCCCUGCAGCCUGUGGAGGAAGCUGUGCAUGUAGGAAGUGUAGUGCCUGAGGCUGCUGCGGAGGACCGAGUCCUUGUGGAGGCAUCAGAGGAAGUCCCUGCAGUUGAAGCCGUCGCGCAGACUGAGGCCCCUGCAGUUGAAGCCGUCGCGCAGACUGAGGCCCCUGCAGUUGAAGACGUUGUGCAGACUGAGGCCCCUGAUCGUGAAGACGUUGUGCAGACCUCCCCUGAGGCCGCCGCCCCUUUUGCUCAACUGGUUAUAUCUGAGCCAAGGGAGGCUUCAGCGAUUCUGGAAGAGGUGGCGACUGGGGCGGCCAAGAAUCCCGCUGAAGUACUCGCUCCUUUGGAGGCUGAUGCACCAGCCAAUGUCUCUACAGCGCCUUGUGAAGCUUUGGCACCAGCACCAAGUGAGGCUUCUGCAGCAGGUGAUGCUGCUGUUCCAAUUGAAGGUGUGGCAGCAGGUGAUGCUGCAGCUCUGGGUGACGGUGCAGCAGGAGGUGACGCUGCAGCUCCGGGCGAAAGUGCACUACCUGAAAAAGCUGAAUCCUCAGCCCCAGUAGAGGCAGCACAGCUUCUGAUAGAUACAAAGAUUGCUGCAGCAACUAUUCCAGAGUUGCCUCCAUUGUCUCCAGCCACCGCACCUCCUGCAGCCUCAGCAGAGAGCGCCCCACUAGCAGAACCCUCAUGCUCUGCUGAAGCCGUGUCUGCUCCAGCUCUAGGGGCUGAAUCUGCUGCUGUUGCGAUCCAGGACGCCCAAGUUCCAAAAGCUUCAGUGGAAACUGCAACCUCAGAGCCUGCAGCAGACUGUGCAGCCUCAGCGGAGGCUCCCGUGGUGGAGUCCACCCCAGCUGAAGCACCUUCAGCACCUGAGCCUUCACCUAAAGUGAGGUCUUCAGCUGAGGCUUCUCACGGUACAGAGGGCGGAAAGGGAAAAAAGAAGGAUUGAGUCGGGAGAAGAUUGUAUCAAAAUAAGAGAACCCCAAAGCUGCCU